UACAUAGCAAGUUGAAAACUGGCCUGGGC
rnacentral:piRNA from 1 species